UCUGUGCUGGCUCCUGCAAGUGCACGUUGGUGACUUUCAUUCCAAUACCCUUGUGAACCUUUGGCCUCUUGCUAGCUUCCGCUGGCAGAGGAUUCUACAUACAAACUCGAAUGUAAUGAAACUCUUGUUGUGCACAAGCACUACUAUAUACAACUUUCAACAACGGAUCUCUUGGCUCUCGCAUCGAUGAAGAUCGCAGCGAAAUGCGAUAAGUAAUGUGAAUUGCAGAAUUCAGUGAAUCAUCGAAUCUUUGAACGCACCUUGCACCCUUUGGCAUUCUGAAGGGUAUGCUCGUUUGAGUGUCAUUGUACUCUCACACUUCCGAUCUUGCAUUGGGAGCGGUGGACUUGGGUUUGCUGCUUUACCGUAGCUUACCUCAAAUGUGUUAGUGCAGCUCUUGGUUGGACAUAAUACGGCGUGAUAAGUAUCUUCGCAGGUGCCUCGCAAGAGGGUGGCCGAUCAGGAUGGUGUGCUCCAAACCGUCUUCGGACAAUCUCUGACAACUUGACCUCAAAUCGAGUAAGACUACCCGCUGAACUUAAGCAUAUCAAUAAGCGGAGGAAAAGAAACUAACAAGGAUUCCCCUAGUAACGGCGAGUGAAGAGGGAAGAGCUCAAAUUUUGAAUCUGGCGUCUUUGGCGUCCGAGUUGUAAUCUAGAGAAGUGUUUUCCGUGACGGACCGUGCAUAAGUCUCCUGGAAUGGAGUGUCAUAGAGGGUGAGAAUCCCGUACAUGGCAUGGACUCCCGUUACUCUGCGAUACACUCUCGACGAGUCGAGUUGUUUGGGAAUGCAGCUCCAAAUGGGUGGUAAAUGCCAUCUAAAGCUAAAUAUGGGCGAGAGACCGAUAGCGAACAAGUACCGUGA
rnacentral:rRNA from 1 species